rnacentral:rRNA from 1 species
UACGUAGGGACCGAGCGUUGUCCGGAUUUAUUGGGCGUAAAGAGCUCGUAGGCGGCUUGUUGCGUCGACUGUGAAAACCCGCGGCUUAACUGCGGGCUUGCAGUUGAUACGGGCAGGCUAGAGUUCGGUAGGGGAGACUAGAAUUCCUGGUGUAGCGGUGAAAUGCGCAGAUAUCAGGAGGAACACCGGUGGCGAAGGCGGGUCUCUGGGCCGAUACUGACGCUGAGGAGCGAAAGCGUGGGGAGCGAACAGG